GAUGAACGCUGGCGGCGUGCUUAACACAUGCAAGUCGAACGGAAAGGCUCCUGCUUGCAGGGGUACUCGAGUGGCGAACGGGUGAGUAACACGUGGGUGAUCUGCCCUGCACUUCGGGAUAAGCCUGGGAAACUGGGUCUAAUACCGGAUAGGACCACAUUUUGGAUGGUGUGGUGGAAAGUUUUUCGGUGUGGGAUGAGCUCGCGGCCUAUCAGCUUGUUGGUGGGGUAAUGGCCUACCAAGGCGUCGACGGGUAGCCGGCCUGAGAGGGUGUACGGCCACAUGGGGACUGAGAUACGACCCAGAAUCCUACGGUACGCAGCAGUGGCGAAUAUUGCGCAGUGACGGCGAGCCUGAUGCGGAGGCGCCGGGUGGGGGAAGACGGCCUUCGGGUUAUAAACACCUUUCGCUAGGGACGAGGCGCAAGUGACGGUACCUGGAGAAGAAGCACCGGCUAACUACGUG
rnacentral:rRNA from 1 species